rnacentral:lncRNA from 1 species
CAGGCUGUCCGAUUCUGCCUUCGACUCUGGGCGCCUCUGGUUGCUGGUGGUGCUGUGCCUGCUGCGGCUGGCGGUGACCCGGCCCCACCUGCAGGCCUACCUGUGCCUGGCCAAGGCCCGGGUGGAGCAGCUGCGAAGGGAGGCUGGCCGCAUCGAAGCCCGUGAAAUCCAGCAGAGGUGGUCCGAGUCUACUGCUAUGUGACCGUGGUGAGCUUGCAGUACCUGACGCCGCUCAUCCUCACCCUCAACUGCACACUUCUGCUCAAGACGCUGGAGGCUAUUCCUGGGGCCUGGGCCCAGCUCCUCUACUAUCCCCCGACCCAUCCUCAGCCAGCGCUGCCCCCAUCGGCUCUGGGGAGGACGAAGUCCAGCAGACUGCAGCGCGGAUUGCCGGGGCUCUGGGUGGCCUGCUUACUCCCCUCUUCCUCCGUGGCGUCCUGGCCUACCUCAUCUGGUGGACGGCUGCCUGCCAGCUGCUCGCCAGCCUUUUCGGCCUCUACUUCCACCAGCACUUGGCAGGCUCCUAGCUGCCUGCAGACCCUCCUGGGGCCCUGAGGUCUGUUCCUGGGGCAGCGGGACACUAGCCUGCCCCCUCUGUUUGCGCCCCCGUGUCCCCAGCUGCAAGGUGGGGCCGGACUCCCCGGCGUUCCCUUCACCACAGUGCCUGACCCGCGGCCCCCCUUGGACGCCGAGUUUCUGCCUCAGAACUGUCUCUCCUGGGCCCAGCAGCAUGAGGGUCCCGAGGCCAUUGUCUCCGAAGCGUAUGUGCCAGGUUUGAGUGGCAAGGGUGAUGCUGGCUGCUCUUCUGAACAAAUAAAGGAGCAUGCCGAUUUUUACAA